GCCCUAGUAGCUUAUACAACAGCGCUGGUCUUGUAAACCAGAGAUGAGGACAUUAACCCUCCAAGGACAA
rnacentral:tRNA from 1 species